GAAUCUCGUAUAUUUAGCCCAAAACCAUAACAAGUUGUAUAUGGUUUCGUUACAAAUGCUACUCAAACUAACGAUCUCUAAAUUUUUGCUAGAGAUUUUUACCACAUAGUGUAAGAAGAUAAAUUAUUCCUAAUCCGAAUACACUAACGAUGCAAAUAGUCUUACAUAUACGAAAUAAAAAUCUUAAAUACAGAAGCAAAAGAGAAUAAACCAAGAAAGAUGAAGAGAAAGAAACAA
rnacentral:lncRNA from 1 species